UACGGAGGGUGCAAGCGUUAUCCGGAUUUACUGGGUUUAAAGGGUGUGUAGGCGGACUUUUAAGUCAGGGGUGAAAUCCCGAGGCUCAACCUCGGAACUGCCUUUGAUACUAUUAGUCUUGAAUUAUGUUGAGGUUGGCGGAAUAUAACAUGUAGCGGUGAAAUGCAUAGAUAUGUUAUAGAACACCGAUUGCGAAGGCAGCUGGCUAAACAUAUAUUGACGCUGAGGCACGAAAGCGUGGGUAGCGAACAGG
rnacentral:rRNA from 1 species